rnacentral:rRNA from 1 species
AUGACUCCUGAGAGGAAUACUGAGAAUAUGGAAUACUGUGAAGAUCUAUUGAGAUCAGUGGACAUGUGUGACUCUGAAAAUGAGGAAAUAGAAGAUGAGUUGGGGGUUCUCCCUUCUGAGGCUGUCCAAAUCCUCCAAAGUGAAACUUGGAGGAGGUCCCUGCUGGAAUCACUUACUCAAGCCGAAGAAGGGGCUGGUCAUGAGAACAAGACAAGAUGGGGCACGGUUGUUACCAAAAGACCUGCUACUAGAGGCCAUGGCAAUGUUAACAUCAUAGAAAAAGCUGCAGCCUACAAGAGGAAGAAGAAUCUGGAAAUCCCAACCACAUUCAAAGGGGCGAAGAUGGCGAAGUAUACGAUGUGUUUUGGACCUGUUGGGGGCAACGAUCAAGAAGUGGAAAAUACUAUGAUCAGAAUCUCAGGGUGCGCUACUUCUCCAAUGUUUAAGGCUACUGGACCACCGAAGAGGGGAAUUGCUUAG